CCUACGGGGUGCUGCAGUGGGGAAUAUUGCACAAUGGGGGGAACCCUGAUGCAGCAACGCCGCGUGAAGGAAGACGGUUUUCGGAUUGUAAACCUCUAUCAAUAGGGAAGAAAGAAAUGACGGUACCUAAAUAAGAAGCCCCGGCUAACUACGUGCCAGCAGCCGCGGUAAUACGUAGGGGGCAAGCGUUAUCCGGAUUUACUGGGUGUAAAGGGAGCGCAGACGGCUGUGUAAGUCUGGAGUGAAAGGCGGGGGCCCAACCCCCGGACUGCUCUGGAAACUGGAAAGCUGGAGUGCAGGAGAGGUAAGCGGAAUUCCUAGUGUAGCGGUGAAAUGCGUAGAUAUUAGGAGGAACACCAGUGGCGAAGGCGGCUUACUGGACUGCAACUGACGUUGAGGCUCGAAAGCGUGGGGAGCAAACAGGAUUAGAUACCCCUGUAGUC
rnacentral:rRNA from 1 species